rnacentral:rRNA from 1 species
UACGUAGGGGGCAAGCGUUGUCCGGAUUUAUUGGGCGUAAAGAGCGUGUAGGCGGCCAGACAGGUCUGCUGUGAAAACUCGAGGCUCAACCUCGAGACGCCGGUGGAAACCGUCUGGCUAGAGUCCGGAAGAGGAGAGUGGAAUUCCCAGUGUAGAGGUGAAAUUCGUAGAUAUUGGGAAGAACACCGGUGGCGAAGGCGGCUCUCUGGACCGAUACUGACGCUGAGGCGCGAAAGCGUGGGGAGCAAACAGG